UACGGGGGGGGGCAAGCGUUGUUCGGAAUUACUGGGCGUAAAGGGCUCGUAGGUGGCCAACUAAGUCAGACGUGAAAUCCCUCAGCUUAACCGGGGAACUGCGUCUGAUACUGGAUGGCUUGAGGUUGGGAGAGGGAUGCGGAAUUCCAGGUGUAGCGGUGAAAUGCGUAGAUAUCUGGAGGAACACCGGUGGCGAAGGCGGCAUCCUGGACCAAUUCUGACGCUGAGGAGCGAAAGCCAGGGGAGCAAACGGG
rnacentral:rRNA from 1 species